UCCCCGGUGGCUCAGAUGCUAAAGCAUCUGCCUACAAUGCAGGAGACCCAGGUUUGAUCCCUGGGUCAGGAA
rnacentral:tRNA from 1 species